AUUGAACGCUGGCGGCAGGCCUAACACAUGCAAGUCGAACGAGUGGCGGACGGGUGAGUAAUGUCUGGGAAACUGCCCGAUGGAGGGGGAUAACUACUGGAAACGGUAGCUAAUACCGCAUACCAUCGGAUGUGCCCAGAUGGGAUUAGCUAGUAGGUGGGGUAAAGGCUCACCUAGGCGACGAUCCCUAACUGGUCUGAGAGGAGGAAGAGCCACACUGGAACUGAGACACGGUCCAGACUCCUACGGGAGGCGGCAGUGGGGAAUAUUGGACAAGGGGGGAAAGCCUGAUGCAGACAUGCCGCGUGUAGGAAGAAGGCCUUCGGGUUGUAAAGUACUUUCAGCGGGGAGGCGGUACUCGCAGAGGAAGCACCGGCUAACUCCGUGCCAGCAGCCGCGGUAAUUC
rnacentral:rRNA from 1 species